rnacentral:rRNA from 1 species
AACGCGAAGAACCUUACCAAGGUUUGACAUACCAUUGACCGGACUAGAAAUAGUUCUUUCCUUCGGGACAAUGGAUACAGGUGGUGCAUGGUUGUCGUCAGCUCGUGUCGUGAGAUGUUGGGUUAAGUCCCGCAACGAGCGCAACCCCUAUUUUUAGUAGCCAGUACGUAAUGGUAGGCACACUAGAGAGACUGCCGUGGAUAACACGGAGGAAGGUGGGGAUGAGGUCAAAUCAUCAUGCCCCUUAUAUCUUGGGCAACUCACGUGCUACAAUGGCGUAUACAAAGUGAAGCAAUAUAGUGAUAUGGAGCAAAAACAUAAAAGUACGUCCCAGUUCGGAUUGUAGUCUGCAACUCGACUACAUGAAGUUGGAAUCGCUAGUAAUCGUAGAUCAGCACGCUACGGUGAAUACGUUCCCGGGCCUUGUACACACCGUAGUAC